UACGUAGGAUGCAAGCGUUGUCCGGAAUUAUUGGGCGUAAAGAGCGCGCAGGCGGUAUGACAAGUCAGAUGUGAAAGAGGCCGGCUUAACCGGCAAGGGUCAUUUGAAACUGUCAGACUAGAGUGCAGCAGAGGAUAGUGGAAUUCCCGGUGUAGUGGUGAAAUGCGUAGAUAUCGGGAGGAACACCAGUGGCGAAGGCGACUAUCUGGGCUGCAACUGACACUCAGGGACGAAAGCUAGGGGAGCGAAUGGG
rnacentral:rRNA from 1 species